GUUGAACGCUGGCGGCGGGCCUAAUACAUGCAAGUCGAGCGGAGCGGGGACGGGUGAGUAACACGUGGAUAACCUCCUUUAAGACUGGGGUAACUUACGGGAACCGGAGCUAAACCCGACACUUUGCGAGGGUUCCGCGCUGCAUUAGCUAGUUGGUAAGGUAACGGCUUACCAAGGCGACGAUGCAUAGCCGACCUGAGAGGGUGAUCGGCCAAACUGGAACUGAGACACGGUCCAGACUCCUACGGGAGGCAGCAGUGGGGAAUCUUCCGCAAUGGGCGAAAGCCUGACGCAGCAACGCCGCGUGAGUGAAGAAGGUCUUCGGAUCGUAAAGCUCUUUUAGUAGGGAAGCGGUACCUAAUCAGAAAGCACCGGCUAACUCCGUGCCAGCAGCCGCGGUAAUUC
rnacentral:rRNA from 1 species